ensembl:miRNA
AUUAGGUUGGUGCAAAAGUAAUCACAGUUUUUGCCCUUUUUUGGGGGGCAAAAACUGCGAUUACUUUUGCAUCAACCUAAUAG